CUCCAGACUCCUACGGGAGGCAGCAGUGGGGAAUAUUGCACAAUGGGGGAAACCCUGAUGCAGCAACGCCGCGUGAGUGAAGAAGUAUUUCGGUAUGUAAAGCUCUAUCAGCAGGGAAGAGAAUGACGGUACCUGACUAAGAAGCCCCGGCUAACUACGUGCCAGCAGCCGCGGUAAUACGUAGGGGGCAAGCGUUAUCCGGAUUUACUGGGUGUAAAGGGAGCGUAGACGGCGAUGCAAGCCAGAUGUGAAAGCCCGGGGCUCAACCCCGGGACUGCAUUUGGAACUGUGUGGCUGGAGUGUCGGAGAGGCAGGCGGAAUUCCUAGUGUAGCGGUGAAAUGCGUAGAUAUUAGGAGGAACACCAGUGGCGAAGGCGGCCUGCUGGACGAUGACUGACGUUGAGGCUCGAAAGCGUGGGGAGCAAACAGGAUUAGAUACCCUAGUA
rnacentral:rRNA from 1 species